AUUGAACGCUGGCGGCAGGCCUAACACAUGCAAGUCGAACGAGUGGCGGACGGGUGAGUAAUGUCUGGGAAACGGCCUGAUGGAGGGGGAUAACUACUGGAAACGGUAGCUAAUACCGCAUACCAUCGGAUGUGCCCAGAUGGGAUUAGCUAGUAGGUGGGGUAAAGGCUCACCUAGGCGACGAUCCCUAGCUGGUCGGAGAGGAUGACCAGCCACACUGGAACUUGGACACGGUCCGGAGUCCUACGGGAGUCAGCAGUGGGGAAUAUUGCACAAUGGGCGCAGGCCUGAUACAGCCAUGCCGCGUGUAUGAAGAAGGCCUUCGGGUUGUAAAGGACUUUCAGCGGGGAGGCGUUACCCGCAGAAGAAGCACCGGCUAACUCCGUGCCAGCAGCCGCGGUAAUUC
rnacentral:rRNA from 1 species